rnacentral:tRNA from 14 species
GGAGACGUGGCCGAGUGGUCGAAGGCACACCCCUGCUAAGGGUGCAGGCCCGGAAGGGUCUCGAGGGUUCGAAUCCCUUCGUCUCCGCCA